rnacentral:rRNA from 1 species
UACGUAGGUGGCAAGCGUUAUCCGGAAUUAUUGGGCGUAAAGCGCGCGUAGGCGGUUUUUUAAGUCUGAUGUGAAAGCCCACGGCUCAACCGUGGAGGGUCAUUGGAAACUGGAAAACUUGAGUGCAGAAGAGGAAAGUGGAAUUCCAUGUGUAGCGGUGAAAUGCGCAGAGAUAUGGAGGAACACCAGUGGCGAAGGCGACUUUCUGGUCUGUAACUGACGCUGAUGUGCGAAAGCGUGGGGAUCAAACAGGAUUAGAUACCCCCGUAGUCC